rnacentral:rRNA from 1 species
UGGGCCCUCGAACUCCUGUGGCGGGAGGAUUCAGCCUGGAGCGCGGGUGCAUUUCGGCAUGUAUUCCGCUCGACGGAGACGGCCGACGAGACGCUUCCUACGCACCAGGUGCAUUUUCUUCCGUCCUUGGGACGUCGCAGCCGGUCGAGCAGUGCAAGCGAGACGGCCUGGAGGUCGGACUAUGGCAGGUGGCCGGUGGCGGUCUUUCGUCCGUCGUCGGUUGUUAGCCUUUUCGACAGUGGCUCGUCGCUCGACCGAGGUUGUGCGGUCCUUCGGGGCCGUCACGUCUCCUCCUCCGGAAAUCGGGAGACUCUCGAAGGUGGCCGUUGCCGUUCCUUCGUCGUUUGUGCUAAACGAAGGGAGUGGCUUCGGUUUCCGCUGGCGAUUGCGUGCCCGUCGGGGACUGGAGGCUCGCGGCGAGUAGGUCGGUGUCCCACCCGACCCGUCUUGAAACACGGACCAAGGAGUCUAACAUGUGCGCGAGUCAGUGGGUCUUGUUGAGGCCCAGGGGCGCAACGAAAGCGAGGUCCGUCAGGGCCAGUCGGGAUCCCCUUCCGUAUAGGGAGGGGCGCACCGACGACCUGUCCCGUCCGCUUCGACGGUGGGGUGGAGUUGGAGCGCACACGUUGGGACCCGAUAGACGGUGAACUAUGCCCGGGCAGGACGAAGCCAGAGGAAACUCUGGUGGAAGUUCGCAGCGGUUCUGACGUGCAAUCGAUCGUCAGACCCAGGUAUAGG